rnacentral:rRNA from 1 species
GAUGAACGCUGGCGGCGUGCCUAACACAUGCAAGUCGAACGGAAAGGCCCAAGCUUGCUUGGGUACUCGAGUGGCGAACGGGUGAGUAACACGUGGGUGAUCUGCCCUGCACUUCGGGAUAAGCCUGGGAAACUGGGUCUAAUACCGGAUAGGACCACUUCUUGGAUGUUGUGGUGGAAAGUUUUUUCGGUGUGGGAUUAGCUCGCGGCCUAUCAGCUUGUUGGUGGGGUAGUGGCCUACCAAGGCGUCGACGGGUAGCCGGCCUUAGAGGGUGUACGGCCACAAUGGUACUAAGAUACGGCCCAGACUCCUACGGGAGGCAGCAGUGGGGAAUAUUGCACAAUGGGCGCAAGCCUGAUGCAGCGACGCCGCGUGGGGGAUGACGGCCUUCGGGUUGUAAACUCCUUUCGCUAGGGACGAAGCGUUUUGUGACGGUACCUGGAGAAGAAGCACCGGCUAACUACGUG